UUAUCAGACUUGUUGCAAGGUUGUUCUAACAAGUCCGUUACAUGCUUGAUAUAACAAGAUUGUUACAACCUUAUGUUGACAUCCUUGUUAUAUCAUGGCUGUAACAAACUUGUUAGCACAGUCUUGUAACAAGGCUGAUAA
rnacentral:miRNA from 1 species